UUUCAUUUAUUAAUUAUUUGGGGUCUUACAACCAAACUCUUAUAUUCAUAUUUUGGCCUUCGUGGCCUUCUGCUAUGAAUUGGGCGUUGAGCCUUCCUUGGACUUCUUCUUCACCGUAUACAAGAUAGUCCAAUCUAGAGAGAAGGGGUUCAAGGCCCUUAGUAAACACUCCCCGAAGUCAGGAGAAAAGUUCGAGAGGCGUUCGCUGGUGAACACUCCUUCGAGCAAUAGGGGAUGGCACGAGAAGUGGUUCUACGUCAAAGGUCCCGAAAUUUCUUCUUUACCGAACUAGGCCACUGACGAGAAGAUCUCUGCUGACUUCGGAG
rnacentral:lncRNA from 1 species